GACGAACGCUGGCGGCGUGCUUAACACAUGCAAGUCGAACGGAAAGGCCCUGCUGUUGCGGGGUGCUCGAGUGGCGAACGGGUGAGUAACACGGGAGUAACAUGCCCUUGACAUUGGGAUAACUUCAGGAAACUGGGGCUAAUACAGGAUAGGAGAUACUGCUGCAUGGUGGGGGUUGGAAAGUUUCGGCGGUUGGGGAUGGACUCGCGGCUUAUCAGCUUGUUGGCGGGGUAGUGGCUUACCAAGGCUCUGACCGGUAGCCGGCCUGAGGGGGUGGCCGGCCACAUCAGGAUUGGGCUACGGCCCAGACCCCUACGGGAGGCAGCAGUGGGGAAUAUUGCACAAUGGGCGGAAGCCUGAUGCAGCACCGCCGCGUGCGGUAUGACGGCCUUCGGGUUGUAAACCGCUUUCGCCUGUGACGAAGCGUGAGUGACGGUAAUGGGUAAAGAAGCACCGGCUAACUACGUG
rnacentral:rRNA from 1 species